rnacentral:rRNA from 1 species
AUUGAACGCUGGCGGCAUGCCUUACACAUGCAAGUCGAACGGCAGCACGGGUGCUUGCCCCUGGUGGCGAGUGGCGAACGGGUGAGUAAUACAUCGGAACAUGUCCUGUAGUGGGGGAUAGCCCGGCGAAAGCCGGAUUAAUACCGCAUACGAUCCACGGAUGAAAGCGGGGGACCUUCGGGCCUCGCGCUAUAGGGUUGGCCGAUGGCUGAUUAGCUAGUUGGUGGGGUAAAGGCCUACCAAGGCGACGAUCAGUAGCUGGUCUGAGAGGACGGCCAGCCACACUGGGACUGAGACACGGCCCAGACUCCUACGGGAGGCAGCAGUGUGGAAUUUUGGACAAUGGGCGAAAGCCUGAUCCAGCAAUGCCGCGUGUGUGAAGAAGGCCUUCGGGUUGUAAAGCACUUUUGUCCGGAAAGAAAUCCUUGACUCUAAUACAGUCGGGGGAUGACGGUACCGGAAGAAUAAGCACCGGCUAACUACGUG